UACGGAGGGUGCAAGCGUUAAUCGGAAUUACUGGGCGUAAAGCGCACGCAGGUGGCUGAGUCAGUCGAUUGUGAAAGCCCUGGGCUUAACCUGGGAAUUGCAGUCGAUACUACUCAGCUAGAGUAUGGGAGAGGGUAGUGGAAUUCCCGGUGUAGCGGUGAAAUGCGUAGAUAUCGGGAGGAACAUCAGUGGCGAAGGCGGCUACCUGGCCCAAUACUGACACUCAGGUGCGACAGCAUGGGGAGCAAACAGG
rnacentral:rRNA from 1 species